UACGUAGGUGACCAGCGUUGUCCGGAUUUACUGGGCGUAAAGAGCGCGCAGGCGGUCGUUCAAGUCGAGUGUGAAAGCCCCCGGCUCAACUGGGGAGGGUCAUUCGAUACUGAUCGACUUGAAGGCAGGAGAGGGAAGUGGAAUUCUCGGUGUAGCGGUGAAAUGCGUAGAUAUCAAGAGGAACACCUGAGGUGAAGACGGGUUGCUGGGCCGACACUGACGCUGAGUGCGCGAAAGCCAGGGGAGCAAACGGG
rnacentral:rRNA from 1 species